rnacentral:rRNA from 1 species
UACAGAGGGUGCGAGCGUUGUCCGGAAUCACUGGGCGUAAAGGGCGCGUAGGCGGCCUGGUAAGUAGGGGGUGAAAUCUUGCGGCUCAACUGCAAGGCUGCCUCCUAAACUGUCAGGCUUGAGCACAGUAGAGGCAGGUGGAAUUCCCGGUGUAGCGGUGGAAUGCGUAGAGAUCGGGAAGAACGUCGGUGGCGAAGGCGGCCUGCUGGGCUGUUGCUGACGCUGAGGCGCGACAGCGUGGGGAGCAAACAGG